rnacentral:lncRNA from 1 species
UGAUAACAUUGCAAAAAUUAUUUUUUCUUGCUCUGAUACAUUGCAAAAUUUAUUUCUUUUCUCUUACUCUGAUAUAUCUUAAACUCAAAAUGAUCUAAUACCCUUUUCAAAUCUUUAAGAAAAUGGACAAACUAUUUUUGCAUAAAUAUUACAUGCCAAAAGAAUCAUACUCUUUUCAAGCAUAUACACCUAUAAUGCAUUCUUUUGAAAUUAGUGAUUCACAUAAAUGUUUUUGUUCAAAUAUUUUGUCAUCAUCAAAAAGGGGGAGAUUAUUGCUCCUAGAUUGAUUUUGAUGAUUACAAAGC